rnacentral:rRNA from 1 species
AGUGAACGCUGGCGGUAGGCCUAACACAUGCAAGUCGAACGGCAGCACAGUAAGAGCUUGCUCUUACGGGUGGCGAGUGGCGGACGGGUGAGGAAUACAUCGGAAUCUACUUUUUCGUGGGGGAUAACGUAGGGAAACUUACGCUUAUACCGCAUACGACCUACGGGUGAAAGCAGGGGAUCUUCGGACCUUGCGCGAUUGAAUGAGCCGAUGUCGGAUUAGCUAGUUGGCGGGGUAAAGGCCCACCAAGGCGACGAUCCGUAGCUGGUCUGAGAGGAUGAUCAGCCACACUGGAACUGAGACACGGUCCAGACUCCUACGGGAGGCAGCAGUGGGGAAUAUUGGACAAUGGGCGCAAGCCUGAUCCAGCCAUACCGCGUGGGUGAAGAAGGCCCUCGGGUUGUAAAGCCCUUUUGUUGGGAAAGAAAAGCAGCAGGUUAAUACCCCGCUGUUCUGACGGUACCCAAAGAAUAAGCACCGGCUAACUUCGUG